CAGAAUUUUCUAUGUGCAGGCAGUAAUAGAAGAGCUCAACUCUUACCAGAAUUUCCAGCACUGUAUUAUGGUAGAUUGUAGCAGCUGAGUUUAGUGCAAGCUAUAACCUACUAUAUGUACUGUAAAAUGAUUAUAUAACAUGUACACUAAUAGGAGAAUAAGAAAUGUUAAAAUGCAGAGCAUUCAGUCACAAAGAUGCUAGUGAAGAGUGUUCUGUUUCAAAUACAAACAUAUUGGUCCCAAAUGUUCCUGUUACCAAAGAAGAUCAUUACUAUGGUUACAACAGUGAGUAGAACUUUCUCAUGGAAGGGAGCAAUGAAUUUAAGCCCAAGACAGCAGGGGGUCUGAAUGUGAUUGAUAUACCUACAUG
rnacentral:lncRNA from 1 species